rnacentral:rRNA from 1 species
AUUGAACGCUGGCGGCAGGCCUAACACAUGCAAGUCGAACGAGUGGCGGACGGGUGAGGAAUGUCUGGGAAACUGCCCGAUGGAGGGGGAUAACUACUGGAAAAGGUAGCUAAUACCGCAUACCAUCGGAUGUGCCCAGAUGGGUUUAGCUAGUAGGUGGGGUAAAGGCUCACCUAGGCGACGAUCCCUAGCUUGUCUGAGAGGAUGACCAGCCACACGGGUACGGAGACACGGUCCAGCCUCCUACGAGAGGCAGCAGUGGUGCAUAUUGCGCAAUGGGCGCAAGCCUGAUGCAGCCAUGCCGCGUGUAUGAAGAAGGCCUUCGGGUUGUAAAGUACUUUCAGCGAGGAGGCGUUACUCGCAGAAUAAGCACCGGCUAACUCCGUGCCAGCAGCCGCGGUAAUAC